rnacentral:rRNA from 1 species
UUCCCUACGGGACGCAGCAGUGAGGAAUAUUGGUCAAUGGGCGGGAGCCUUAACCAGCCAAGUCGCGUGAGGGAAGACGGUCCUAUGGAUUGUAAACCUCUUUAGGCGGGGAGCAAUGCCGGGCACGCGUGCCCGGAGGGAGAGUACCCGCAGAAUAAGCAUCGGCUAACUCCGUGCCAGCAGCCGCGGUAAUACGGAGGAUGCGAGCGUUAUCCGGAUUUAUUGGGUUUAAAGCGAGCGCAGGCGGUUGGAUAAGUCUGAAGUUAAAGGCUGUGGCUUAACC